rnacentral:rRNA from 1 species
AUUGAACGCUGGCGGCAUGCCUUACACAUGCAAGUCGAACGGCAGCACGGGAGCAAUCCUGGUGGCGAGUGGCGAACGGGUGAGUAAUAUAUCGGAACGUGCCCAGUCGUGGGGGGUACGCAGCGAAAGCUGUGCUAAUACCGCAUACGAUCUAAGGAUGAAAGCGGGGGAUCGCAAGACCUCGCGCGAUUGGAGCGGCCGAUAUCAGAUUAGCUAGUUGGUGGGGUAAAGGCCCACCAAGGCGACGAUCUGUAGCUGGUCUGAGAGGACGACCAGCCACACUGGAACUGAGACACGGUCCAGACUCCUACGGGAGGCAGCAGUGGGGAAUUUUGGACAAUGGGCGCAAGCCUGAUCCAGCAAUGCCGCGUGCAGGAUGAAGGCCUUCGGGUUGUAAACUGCUUUUGUACGGAACGAAACGGCCCUUUCUAAUACAGGGGGCUAAUGACGGUACCGUAAGAAUAAGCACCGGCUAACUACGUGCCAGCAGCCGCCGUAAGAC